rnacentral:rRNA from 1 species
AGCAGUAGCCGCGGGAAUACGUAGGGCGCAAGCGUUGUCCGGAAUUAUUGGGCGUAAAGAGCUCGUAGGCGGUCUGUCGCGUCUGGUGUGAAAUCCCGAGGCUCAACCUCGGGCUUGCAUCGGGUACGGGCAGACUAGAGUGCGGUAGGGGAGACUGGAAUUCCUGGUGUAGCGGUGGAAUGCGCAGAUAUCAGGAGGAACACCGAUGGCGAAGGCAGGUCUCUGGGCCGCAACUGACGCUGAGGAGCGAAAGCAUGGGGAGCGAACAGGAUUAGAUACCCCGGUAGUCCCUGUCUCUUAUAC